UUUUUUUUUUUUUUUUCUAUUUUUUUUUUUUAAAUUCUGAAGCCAGACCGUCUUUCCUCACAGCUCCACGGCUGCAUCUCCGUGGGCACGCAAGCUUCCCCUGGUUACCUGAGCUGCUCCUGCCGUCUCCCGCCUGGGCUUCGCCGUGGUGCACCCGAUCCCGGAAUCGUGCGUCUGCGCCCUGCGAAAGAAGGACCUGCUGGCGGAGCUCCGGCCGGGGUCUCCUGCCUCGCAGCUGGGCGAGGGGACUUGGAGGACAGGGUGAAGCUGCAGAAGACCUGGGGUGGGAUGGCUAGAGAGGACGCCAAGGACUGGGGAAGGGGAAGUUAGGAAUACCUUACAUCCAAUGCCCACCCGUGCUCCGCAGGGCAAGGGCAGCCGUCGCCUCGGCCGCGUGCACCCAGCUCAGGCUGUUCCCAGGGAUUUAGUCUGGGGGGACAACCCAUGGCGAGAUGUGGUGGCAUUUUACCUCAGAGUGGAGCUGAAGAUGGAUAAACAAGGUAUCUGAUGUAUCUGCCUGAGAAGGCAGAGCUGGAGAAAGGCGGAGCGAGGGAGCGCGUGAAAAGAAAGAGAUGCCGAAUGCCGGGUGAUUGUCUGCCGCUUGCUGUGCAUUCUCAUUCUAGGGAGGAUGGCAUAAUUUAUAACCCAGCACAUGGAUAGAGGAACUGUAAAUUGUAGUCUGGAUGUCCCCGGCGCUGUCGACGAAGGAACUGAUGGGCUAGGCUCACAGGCAGAAGGAAUUUUCCUUGUCUUGGAUGAGACUUUUGACUUGGACUUUUGGGUUAAGGAUUUACAGAAAGCGUGGUGCUGGCAUCUGAUCAGCUUCUGGGGUGGCCUCAGGAAGCUUACAAUCAUGGUGGCAUUUGAAGUGGAAGCGAGAGAGAGAAGAGGAGAUGCAACACACUUUUAAACAAGAUUUCAGGAGAACUCAUUCACUAUGUUCUGGAGACCAGAAGGCCAAAAUCAAAAGUAUGGGCAGGCUUGAUUUCUUUAGAAGACUCCAGCGGAGAACUGUGUCUCCUUGCUUCUGGUGGGUAUUGGCAAUCCUUGGAGUUCCUUGGCUUGUAGGCACAUCGCUUCAAUCUCUGCUUCUGCUUUCACGUGGGGCUCCUCCCUGUAUGUGUCUGUGUUGCCUCCUUUUCUGACUCUCAUAAGAACACUUGUUAUUGGAUAUAGAGCCCUCCCUAAUCCAGGAUGGUCUCAUCUUGAGAUCUUUAUCUUGGUUAUGUCUACAAAGACCCUUAUUCCAAAUAAAGUCACAUUUUGAG
rnacentral:lncRNA from 1 species